GUCGAACGAUGAUCCGGUGCUUGCACCGGGGAUUAGUGGCGAACGGGUGAGUAACACGUGAGUAACCUGCCCUUAACUCUGGGAUAAGCCUGGGAAACUGGGUCUAAUACCGGAUAUGACUCCUCAUCGCAUGGUGGGGGGUGGAAAGCUUUUGUGGUUUUGGAUGGACUCGCGGCCUAUCAGCUUGUUGGUGAGGUAAUGGCUCACCAAGGCGACGACGGGUAGCCGGCCUGAGAGGGUGACCGGCCACACUGGGACUGAGACACGGCCCAGACUCCUACGGGAGGCAGCAGUGGGGAAUAUUGCACAAUGGGCGCAAGCCUGAUGCAGCGACGCCGCGUGAGGGAUGACGGCCUUCGGGUUGUAAACCUCUUUCAGUAGGGAAGAAGCGAAAGUGACGGUACCUGCAGAAGAAGCGCCGGCUAACUACGUGCCAGCAGCCGCGGUAAUACGUAGGGCGCAAGCGUUAUCCGGAAUUAUUGGGCGUAAAGAGCUCGUAGGCGGUUUGUCGCGUCUGCCGUGAAAGUCCGGGGCUCAACUCCGGAUCUGCGGUGGGUACGGGCAGACUAGAGUGAUGUAGGGGAGACUGGAAUUCCUGGUGUAGCGGUGAAAUGCGCAGAUAUCAGGAGGAACACCGAUGGCGAAGGCAGGUCUCUGGGCAUUAACUGACGCUGAGGAGCGAAAGCAUGGGGAGCGAACAGGAUUAGAUACCCUGGUAGUCCAUGCCGUAAACGUUGGGCACUAGGUGUGGGGGACAUUCCACGUUUUCCGCGCCGUAGCUAACGCAUUAAGUGCCCCGC
rnacentral:rRNA from 1 species